rnacentral:misc_RNA from 1 species
AACGCAUAUUGCGCUCGAGACUUCGGUCGAGAGCAUGCCUGUCUCAGCGUCGGCUCACCCCUCGCCCACCCUUCUCCAUUUUCUUCGGAAAAAGCCGGAGGUGCAUGGACGGAUGUGGCCGUCUCGAUCCCUUUGAUGGGAUCGGGUCGGCUGAAGUGCAGGGCCCGCGGCGCGACCCGGACAAGAGGGCGCCAGCAUGGCAGGUGGCUUUCAAUGCUGCAUGCCGCUGUCGCCUGCCCUUGGCCCGACCAGUGUCGCAUCCAAUCGUCCGCUCGGCCACCAAGCAGGAAAAUGUGUCGGUCGCCCGCCGGUUAGUAAAAUAAUCGGCGGCGCCGGCACACUCAAACCUUCGACCUGAGAUCAGACAAGACCACCCGCUGAACUAAA